AGCUCAAAUUUGAAAUCUGGGUCUUUCAGGCCCCGAGUUGUAAUUUGUAGAAGAUGCUUUGGGUGCGGUCCCGGUCUAAGUUCCUUGGAACAGGACGUCAUAGAGGGUGAGAAUCCCGUAUGUGAUCGGUGGCCUGCGCCCGUGUAAAGCUCUUUCGACGAGUCGGGUUGUUUGGGAAUGCAGCUCUAAAUGGGUGGUAAAUUUCAUCUAAAGCUAAAUAUUGGCCAGAGACCGAUAGCGCACAAGUAGAGUGAUCGAAAGAUGAAAAGCACUUUGGAAAGAGAGUUAAACAGUACGUGAAAUUGUUGAAAGGGAAGCGCUUGCAACCAGACUUGCGCGGGGUUGAUCAUCCGGGGUUCUCCCCGGUGCACUCGGCCUCGCUCAGGCCAGCAUCGGUUUCGGUGGUUGGAUAAAGGCCUUGGGAAUGUGGCCCCUCUCGGGGGGUGUUAUAGCCCUCGGUGCAAUGCAGCCUACCGGGACCGAGGACCGCGCUUCGGCUAGGAUGCUGGCGUAAUGGUUGUAAGCGACCCGUCUUGAAACACGGACCAAGGAGUCUAACAUCUAUGCGAGUGUUUGGGUGUCAAACCCAUACGCGGAAUGAAAGUGAACGGAGGUGAGAACCCUUAAGGGUGCAUCAUCGACCGAUCCUGAUGUCUUCGGAUGGAUUUGAGUAAGAGCAUAGCUGUUGGGACCCGAAAGAUGGUGAACUAUGCCUGAAUAGGGUGAAGCCAGAGGAAACUCUGGUGGAGGCUCGCAGCGGUUCUGACGUGCAAAUCGAUCGUCAAAUUUGGGUAUA
rnacentral:rRNA from 1 species